rnacentral:rRNA from 1 species
AGAUUGAACGCUGGCGGAAUGCUUUACACAUGCAAGUCGAGCGGCAGCGCGGGGCAACCUGGCGGCGAGCGGCGAACGGGUGAGUAAUGCAUCGGAACAUGUCCAUGUCGUGGGGGAUAGCCCGGCGAAAGCCGGAUUAAUACCGCAUACGCCCGAGAGGGGAAAGCCGGGGACCGCAAGGCCUGGCGCGAUUGGGUUGGCCGAUGUCCGAUUAGCUAGUUGGCGGGGUAAUGGCCCACCAAGGCGAUGAUCGGUAGCUGGUCUGAGAGGAUGAUCAGCCACACUGGGACUGAGACACGGCCCAGACUCCUACGGGAGGCAGCAGUGGGGAAUUUUGGACAAUGGGGGCAACCCUGAUCCAGCCAUUCCGCGUGAGUGAAGAAGGCCUUCGAGUUGUAAAGACUCUUUGUCCGGAACGAAACGGUAAGCGUGAAUAUCGCUGCCUACUGACGGUACCGGAAGAAUAAGACACCGGCUAACUACGUGCCAGCAGCCG